CCCGGUGGCGACAGCUGGGGGGGCACACCUGUUCCCAUCCCGAACACAGAAGUUAAGCCCCCAAACGCCGACGGUACUUGGCUGGAAACGGCCCGGGAGAAUAGGUAGCCGCCGGUU
rnacentral:rRNA from 1 species